rfam:Schistosoma curassoni strain Dakar, Senegal genome assembly, scaffold: SCTD_scaffold0000078
AUUCAGCUGACAAGUCUCAAAUAGGACGAAACGCUCAUCGUGGAU